GUCAGGUGUCAGGAAUUACAUCUCUGAUGGCAACAAAGCACUUAAAAGUGAAGGAGAGAAGUGGGUGAGUGGCUGGUUUGGGUUCCCUGGGAAAACUGGACAGCUUUGAUCUUAACUGAGGAAAAUUGACAGAAAUUGACAGUACAGAUCUCCUGGUGUGAACACUUUUUGUUGUGAGAAGGAAUCAACUCCAGGCUUAAACAGAACAUCCAAGGUCUCCUCCCAUGGCAGUGAUCAGCCUGGUAACACAGCCAAGGUGCAACUCUAAGGAUGGACUCAUCAUCUCCUGGGCUGUCUGAGACAUGCUUGUUCUGAAGCCUAUCAACAUAUUUAAGUACUGUAA
rnacentral:lncRNA from 1 species